rnacentral:rRNA from 1 species
GAUGAACGCUGGCGGCGUGCUUAACACAUGCAAGUCGAACGGAAAGGCUCCUGCUUGCAGGGGUACUCGAGUGGCGAACGGGUGAGUAACACGUGGGUGAUCUGCCCUGCACUUCGGGAUAAGCCUGGGAAACUGGGUCUAAUACCGGAUAGGACCACAUUUUGGAUGGUGUGGUGGAAAGUUUUUCGGUGUGGGAUGAGCUCGCGGCCUAUCAGCUUGUUGGUGGGGUAAUGGCCUACCAAGGCGUCGACGGGUAGCCGGCCUGAGAGGGUGUACGGCCACAUUGGGACGGAGAUACGGCCCAGACUCCUACGGGAGGCAGCAGUGGGGAAUAUUGCACAAUGGGCGCAAGCCUGAUGCAGCGACGCCGCGUGGGGGAUGACGGCAUUCGGGUUGUAAACUCCUUUCGCUAGGGACGAAGCGUUUUUGUGACGGUACCUGGAGAAGAAGCACCGGCUAACUACGUG